CAGAAGUGGGCCCAGGGGGCAUGGGUGCCAUGUGCCCCCAGCAGCCCCAGACUCUGUUUUCUUUCUAUUUCUAUUUUGAAAAAAGUAAGUCUCCAGUCCUCCUGGAAAUAAAGUUACGCAGCAAGAUGUGUAGGUUCCCCUUCUACACACUGUCUGUAAGAAGAGCCAGUCUGGCUGCUUCUGCCUUUCAAGGUUUUUAGCCAGUGAGUGAAGUCAGAGCUGUGAUUGAUGAGUGGGUUGUUUAGGACCCCAGAGAUUCCUAUUGCCUGGUGUCUUAAAGAACUGCUCUUUCUCCCACUCCUUUAGCACACUUUUCUGGCUUGUGAUUCACUUUCUGAUCCUUAGAAACUCUGUAGUUUGCCCACCCUUUUCUCCUGGUAGCUAGGAUGCAUCUUCCCUGUGGUGUUACUUUCUGCAAAUACAGUAAGUAUGCAUGGAUGUGAAAACAACAACAACAACCCACCUUUGCAAAUGGCAAAAUGUGAAAAUUUUGCCAAGAGGCUUGGGUACGUCUCCUGUUUACAGUGGUAUACAUGUCUACUAAGAAGCCCAUUUGUGAUAAAAAGGGCUUACCCUAUGGCUUUGGUUUAGGGCUGGCAGUGAGGGAAAGCAGGCUCCUUGUGCCUUGAACAACUGUGUGGCAGACAGAAGUUCUAGAAGUUAAGCCUUUUCAAUUAUGGAAAUACAAUGUUUCACUUGUUCACAA